GAUGAAGAACGCGGCGAAAUGCGAUAGGUAAUGUGAAUUGCAGAAUUCAGUGAAUCAUCGAAUCUUUGAACGCACAUUGCGCCCUUUGGUAUUCCUUAGGGCAUGCCUGUUCGAGCGUCACUACACACCUUAUCACAAUAUUUGUGGUCUUGGCAGGAGUGAAUUGCUGGUCUAUGGAAGUAUUCCAGCAGUACACAAUGCUAAAAAAUAUGGGAAGGUUACCAGAUAUGAACAACAGACUUUGUAAAUGGUUGUAGGACCUAGAUCAGUCACAAGUCAUGUCUGGUCCCUUACCUUAAGGACCCCCAUCCUAGAUGAACUAUGGGUUGACCUCGGAUCAGGUAGGAAUACCCGCUGAACUUAAGCAUAUCAAUAAGCGGAGGA
rnacentral:misc_RNA from 1 species